UUGCCCUAGUAACGGCGAGUGAAGCGGCAACAGCUCAAAUUUGAAAUCUGGCUUCGGCCCGAGUUGUAAUUUGCAGAGGAUGUUUCUGGCGCGGUGCCUUCCGAGUUCCCUGGAACGGGACGCCAUAGAGGGUGAGAGCCCCGUAUGGUUGGAUACUAAGCCUGUGUGAAACUCCUUCGACGAGUCGAGUAGUUUGGGAAUGCUGCUCAAAAUGGGAGGUAAAUCUCUUCUAAAGCUAAAUAUUGGCCAGAGACCGAUAGCGCACAAGUAGAGUGAUCGAAAGAUGAAAAGCACCUUGAAAAGGGGGUUAAACAGUACGUGAAAUUGUUGAAAGGGAAGCGCUCAUGACCAGACUUGUGCUGGGCAGCUCAUCCGGGGUUCUCCCCGGUGCACUCUGCCCAGUUCAGGCCAGCAUCGAUUUUUGCUGGGGGAUAAGAACGGUAGGAACGUGGCCCUCCUUCGGGUGGGUGUUAUAGCCUGCCGUACGAUACCCUGGCGGAGAUCGAGGUUCGCGCAUCUGCAAGGAUGCUGGCGUAAUGGUCAUCAGCGACCCGUCUUGAAACACGGACCAAGGAGUCGUCCAUUAGAGCGAGCGUUUGGGUGUAAAACCCGCACGCGUAAUGAAAGUGAAAUUAGGUGAGAGCUUCGGCGCAUCAUCGACCGAUCCUGAUGUUCUCGGAAGGAUUUGAGUAAGAGUUUUAACGGACGGACCCGAAAGACAGUGAACUAUGCUUGUAUAGGGUGAAGCCAGAGGAAACUCUGGUGGAGGCUCGCAGCGGUUCUGACGUGCAAAUCGAUCGUCAAAUAUGAGCAUGGGGGCGAAAGACUAAUCG
rnacentral:rRNA from 2 species